rnacentral:lncRNA from 1 species
GUUGGAUAAAUGAAAUGCAGUAUGAUAUUAUUUAUGCAAAUUGAUAAAAGCCUUCAAGUUAAUAACAUAUAUUAUUUUGGCUGACUUUCUCCCUGUGAGGUUUCACUGUGACAAUGCUUGUAGAGAGCCUGAGGCAGCACCUGGCAAGAGUGAGCCCAUGUGAAUAUCAGCUACUGUCUGUACUGAGAAAAAAAAUAAUAAACCUCUUGCUUCUUGAAGGCACCGUUAUUUGGAAUUUCAGUUCUGUUGAGGCAAACCUACAUUUAGCCUAGUAAAAGUGUUUGUGUGUGAAAAUAUUUUUUAAAUUUAUGGAGAAUAUUUUGAAGUUAAAAAAAAAACUAAAGUACACAGGAAAGAAAAAAGUGGGCAAUGUUAGGACAAAUUCUGUUCGGGGCACAUGGCAAGCUUGUCAAAGGAAAAGGUGGGUGCAGGUCUGCAUUGAGCCAAAGUGAGAGAGCUCAGGGUCUGUUGGAAUCCAGAGAAAGAUACAUUAGGAGACAAGAGCUCAACAACCAUGAGCACAUUUAUAACAGGAUUGGCUGUUUUUCUCUCUUGUUUCAGUUUUCAAAUCCACUUUGCCCAUAUACAAGUGACAGUCAAACAACAUGCAUUCGAGCUGUAUGGGUCCAUGUAUGGCUAGAAGUCUAAAUGAGAUGCCUGCCUUACAUGACCAGGACUCAACAUCUCCUGAAGACUCAAGAAAGAAGAGCUCUCAAGAUGGAAGCCCCAGGGAAGGGAGGAUGAGGUAGGGAGCAGCUGUGAUAAGCCUGAAGGUCUCCUGCUUCUCAGU